GUCCACGCCCUAAACGAUGGAUACUAAGUAGGGGACCCUGCAAGGGGUUCCUUGCCGGAGCAAAAGCGUUAAGUAUCCCGCCUGGGGAGUAUGGUCGCAAGGCUGAAACUCAAAAGAAUUGACGGGGCUCACACAAGCGGUGGAGCAUGUUGCUUAAUUCGAUGCAACGCGAAGAACCUUACCCGGGCUCGAAGUGUACGGAUUAGCUCUAUGAAAGUAGAGUGACACCUUAACCGGUGGAACGUAUAAAGGUGUUGCAUGGCUGUCGU
rnacentral:rRNA from 1 species